AAAAAUGUUGCAAUCUAUCUUUAGUGAGAAAUUGCGACUCCAAGAAGAGAACCAAGAAGACCUUUUGAAUCGUCUCAUUUUCCUGAGGUAGUCGAAUUUGAUGCCAUCAUGAAGAGGGUAGCAACAUAUCUAUGGAAGAAUAUCAAACCUGAAGGGCUUGCAUCACAAGAUCAAGAAGGGUGAAGAAUUCAAGUACACAUGAUUCAUGGUCUUAAGUAGUUCGAUUUCCUCAUUUAAUUAGGGGCAUGCACCUUCCCCUGCAUGGGAAUUCUUAUUGCUUUUUAGGGAUUGAUUUCAAUUUAUUCUGUGCUUGAGCAUCACAUUCCAAUAAAUGUAAUUUGAUUGAUGGAUAUCAAUAGAAUUACAAGUUUUGUUUUGAGG
rnacentral:lncRNA from 1 species